GAUGAACGCUGGCGGCGUGCCUAAUACAUGCAAGUCGAGCGAAAAGACGAGGAGCUUGCUCCUCUGACGUUAUCGGCGGACGGGAGAGUAACACGUGGAUAACCUACCUAUAAGACUGGGAUAACUUCGGGAAACCGGAGCUAAUACGGGAUAAUAUAUUGAACCGCAUGGUUCAAUAGUGAGAGACGGUUUUGCUGUCACUUAUAGAUGGAUCCGCGCCGCAUUAGCUAGUUGGUAAGGUAACGGCUUACCAAGGCAACGAUGGGUAGCCGACCUGAAAGGGUGAUUCGACACACUGGAACUGAGACACGGCCCACACUCCUACGGUGAGAAGCAGUAGAGAAUCUUCCGCGAUGGAGGAGAGCCUGACGGUACAAAGUCGCGUCAGUGAUGAAGUUCCCCGGAUCGUAAAGCUCUGUUAUUAGGGAAGAACAAAUGUGUAAGUAACUAUGCACGUCUUGACGGUACCUAAUCAGAAAGCCACGGCUAACUACGUG
rnacentral:rRNA from 1 species